GACGAACGCUGGCGGCGUGCUUAACACAUGCAAGUCGAACGGAAAGGCCCUGCUUUUGUAGGGUUCUCGAGUGGCGAACGGGUGAGUAACACGUGAGUAACCUGCCCUUGACUUUGGGAUAACUCCAGGAAACUGGGGCUAAUACCGGAUAGGAGCUCCUGCUGCAUGGUGGGGGUUGGAAAGUUUCGGCGGUUGGGGAUGGACUCGCGGCUUAUCAGCUUGUUGGUGGGGUAGUUGCUUACCAAGGCUUUGACGGGUAGCCGGCCUGAGAGGGUGACCGGCCACAUUGGGCCUGAGGUACGGCCCAGUCUCCUACGGGAGGCAGCAGUGGAGAAUAUUGCAGAAUGGGCGGAAGCCUGAUGCAGCAACGCCGCGUGCGGGAUGACGGCCUUCGGGUUGUAAACCGCUUUCGCCUGUGACGAAGCGUGCGUGACGGUAAUGGGUAAAGAAGCACCGGCUAACUACGUG
rnacentral:rRNA from 1 species